rnacentral:precursor_RNA from 1 species
UGGCUCAGUUCAGCAGGAACAGGGGUCAAGCCCGCUUGGAGCCCGCAGCCCCUGCCUUCCCUGGGUGGGCUGAUGAGU